rnacentral:lncRNA from 10 species
UCACAAUCCACAGGAACAUGGAGGAGAGCUAUGCAAAUCAGCCUGAGGUUUUCAGAAUGUGUUCCUAGAUGAGAAAACGUCUCAUGAACUGAGUUCUUUACGACGGGUUUAACAGAUCUUAGGCUUUCAUUCACCAAAAUGCAUAAGAAUCACUUGGACAACUAUUUCUGAGCUGCAAGCUGGCAAUGUCUGAGGCCCCCUCAAAGGAUAAUGUGAGUUCCCCUGAACAAUCUGGGCAACAGAUGUCAACCAGGGAGAAGAUGCUGGCAGUAGGGUUCCCGGGAGUUGAACAUCUGCCUGACCUCCUACUGGGCUCUUCUAAUGCUGCAGCCUAAGGUGGCAGCUGUGGCUGUAGUAGAUGAAAUUCAGAACAUCUGGGGCAUUCUAUGGAGGAGAAAGAAACAAGCUUCUGGAAGCAGCAACAUAGAAGAACAUUAAUUCUCUCCCCACCCAGUCUCACCUACAGAGACAGAGUCUCGCUGUGUUGCCAAGGCUGGUCACAAACUCCUGGGCUGAAGUGAUCCUGCCACCUCGGGCUCCUGUGUAGCUUGGACUAAAGAAAAUGAUUAGAAAACUGGACUAAACAUGAAACAACAGUUUAUAGGCAUCAAACAAGCACCACACGUCUAAAAGAGGAGAGAGAAGCGUGAG